ACGUCAACGUCAGUCACUGGCUCAUCGUCAUGAUCGACGCCAUCAUUACCAUCUUCGCCACCUUCACAGGAUCCGACCUCCCCAUGGUUGUCGUGACAGGAUCCGACCACUGUCAUUCUCACAGCCUCCACCGGACCCCACACAGCUUACCGGCUUCGUUGUCAUUGCCAGAUCCCUAAGCCAAGGUUGUUGAGCCACCAUCCUUGCCUAGCCGUCGCGCGCCGCUGAUAAGAGAGUUGUGUGGAUGAGAAUGCAUGCAGAUGUGGCUGUCAUCU
rnacentral:lncRNA from 1 species